GUCUUGUUCUACUUCGUGGUGAAGAGGUUGUGUCGAUGACGGUUGAAGGUCCUCCUCCUCCUGAAGAGUCUAGGUCGAAGGGUGUUAAUGCUGCGGCAAUGGCUGGUCCUGGGAUUGGUAGGGCUGCUGGGAGAGGUGUCCCUCCUGCUCCUGUUAUUCAAGCUCAGCCUGGUUUGUCUGGUCCUGUUCGUGGUGUUGGUGGACCUGCUCCCGGAAUGAUGCAGCCGCAGAUCUCGCGGCCUCCUCAGAUGUCGGCGCCUCCUGUUUCGUAUCCCGGUGGUGCUCCGGUUAUGCGUCCUCCUGGUCAGAUGCCUUAUCCUGGACAAGGUCCACCUCCGAUGGGGAGGGGUCCUCCUCCACCUAUGCCGCCUGGACAAUUUCCUCAGAGACCAGGUGGUCCUCCACCACAAUUUUCCAUGCCGCCUCCUCAGUAUGGGCAGAGACCUAUGGGCCCACCUCCUCCUGGACAGAUGGUUAGAGGACCUCCUCCUCCACCUCGUCCUGGAAUGCAAGCACCACCACGUCCUGGCAUGCCUCCUCCUCCUGGAAGCGGUGUUCCGGUGUAUGGUCCACCUCGGCCUGGCAUGCCCCCUCCACCUAAUGCUCCAAACCAAC
rnacentral:lncRNA from 1 species